rnacentral:rRNA from 1 species
UGGGGAAUAUUGCACAAUGGGCGCAAGCCUGAUGCAGCAACGCCGCGUGAACGAUGAAGGUCUUCGGAUCGUAAAGUUCUGUUGCAGGGGAAGAUAAUGACGGUACCCUGUGAGGAAGCCCCGGCUAACUACGUGCCAGCAGCCGCGGUAAUACGUAGGGGGCUAGCGUUAUCCGGAUUUACUGGGCGUAAAGCGCACGUAGGCGGACUUUUAAGUCAGGGGUGAAAUCCCGGGGCACAACCCCGGAACUGCCUUUGAUACUGGAAGUCUUGAGUAUGGUAGAGGUGAGUGGAAUUCCGAGUGUAGAGGUGAAAUUCGUAGAUAUUCGGAGGAACACCAGUGGCGAAGGCGGCUCACUGGACCAUUACUGACGCUGAGGUGCGAAAGCGUGGGGAGCAAACAGG